rnacentral:tRNA from 1 species
GGUCUUAUAGUCAAAUUAUGAUAUUAGACUGCAAUUCUAAAGUUGUUUUUAUUAACUAAGGCCU